ACGGCCACGGGACACACACUGCAUCCACUGCAGCUGGGGGCCUAGUUAACAUGGCAAGUCUCAUGGGCUUUGGCUUAGGGACUGCUCGGGGCGGGGUUCCAUCAGCUCGGAUAGCUGUGUAUAAGAUAUGAUGGUCUGAUGGCUGUUUUGAUGCUGAUAUUCUCGCAGCAUUUGAUGAUGCAGUUGCUGAUGGGGUUGAUAUAAUAUCUAUUUCAGUUGGGGUAAAACUCCCACAAAUUAUUUUGAAGAUCCAAUUGAAAUUGGAGCUUUUCACGCAAUGAAAAAACGGAUACUAACAUCAGCUUCUGCUGGUAACCAUGGACCUCAUCUUGCUUCCAUCACAAAUUUCUUGCCUUAGUCUCUUUCCGUGGCUGCUAGCACCAUAGACCGGGAUUUCUUUACCAAGGUGCAACUAGGCGACAAUAACGUUUUUGAGGUGAGUAAGCUUCAUGGCAGUUCCUUUGCUUACACUUCGAACUAAUAACCAUCACACACAAAUUUUUCAUUUAUUAAAGUUCCAACCAUGUGAAACUGAUUUUUGGAGGUUACAUCAUUGCUCUUUGUGUAGGGAGUUUCAAUAAACACAUUUGAGCUCAAUGACAUGUAUCCUUCCAUUUAUGGUGGAGAUUCCCCGAAUACUGCAGGAGGUAUUAGUGGGAACAGAUCUAGGUACUUAUUAAAGAUCAAAGAAAAAGAGUCAAUGGAUAAUGAAAGCCGUAAGUUAGAAAUCCUGAAUUUUAAAGAGUGUGUGAUAUAUUACAAGACUUUCAUUACUGAAAUGCAGGUUUUGCGAAAUAAACUCGAUGAACCCAAAUUUAGUGAAGGGUAAAAUUGUCCUUUGCAUUGGGCUGGAUAGAGCUGGGCCUAAAGAUGCAUUGAGUGCGUUCUUGGCAGGUGCCGUUGGGACUGUGAUAGCGGAUGGACUCCCCAAAGAUUUCAGCCUCAUUUUUCCCUUGCCUACAUCUCGCCUUACUGCAGGAGAUGGUAAUAGAACUGCCAAGCUACUACAUCAGCUCAACAAGGUAUCAAUUAACACAUCUUCCUACUUUUAUUUGGAGAUGAUUGUAAAUAAUAUAAAUGAUAUGCUAAGGAUUUGUACGGCAUAUAUAUACUCAGUCUUAGUCUUACUACAUUUAAACAGUAACCCAACUGCAUCGAUAUUGAAGAGUAUUGAGGUUAAUGACACAUUGGCCCCAUAUGGACCCUCCUUCUCAUCAAGGGAUCCAAACCCAAUUACACACAAUUGUGGACCCGUUUUUUUCACCUACGUCCCCACUCAAUCGGCGAGACUUGCUUUUAUUUGUGAAAAAUUAUUUUUGGAAAAGUCGGAGUCGCCACUUAUUUUAUUUUAUUUUAAAGGAAAAAUAAAAUAAGAAAUAAAACCCUAAAAAAAAUUACUCCAAAGUUUUUGGAAAAACGUGUCUUUGAAAAAACUUGAGUCUGGAUUUGGGGAUCAAGUUACUUAUUAGGAAGGUACCUCUAAAAGGUAGCACCCCUCUAAGCCCUAUAAAGGUCUCUACUAACUAAGUUAAGGGAGAUAAGACAAUUAAUUGAUUAAUUGAGGGUACCUAGGUAGACUAAGGUGAUUUCAAAAAAUAGUAUGUCAAACAAAAUCAAAUCACAAUAAAGAAAAGUUAAGAUGCGUACCUGAAUGGCUUCUUAAGCGCCAUUAAAAGACAUCAAAGGUUAGUUUGAAAAUAUGACAUAUAACAUGCAUUUUUAUCAAAGAUGAUCAAACAAGCAUCAAGGCAAUCAAAUAUGACAUCAAACAUGGACAUGACUCAUGAUAACAUACACAUUCAUAAAAUUUUAGAGUUGGAGGGUAGAAAGAGUGUACCUGAUUAGCGAGCAUCCACACGUCUAUGGAAAACUAGGUUAGCUUAAUAACAGGUAUAAACACUUCUCAUAUAUAUCAUAAAGAAUAAUUAAAAUCAACCAAAUAUCAAACAAUCCCCUCAUUUGAAUCAAUAUUAGAGAAGAUAUCAAGAAUGUCGGACCCCCCACCAAGGUCCAAAUUGCUUUUGCACGAAUUGAUUCAAUUAUUCCUAUUAUUUAGAACCAUGAAGUUUAUUCGUGCUUGAGGAAAAUCGAGAAAAUCAAGAAAAUGGUUGAAAGUCAAAAAAAAUAGUGAAAGUGCAUGCCAAGAGGAAAAAUGGCAGCAAAAGAUUAUUGAAAUCUAGAUUUUAUUGUUUAAAGAAGAUCCGAAGAUGAUUCUCUAAAAUCAGAGUUAUUUGGAUGAAGAUGAUUUUGAAGACACAAUUCAUAACAGGUGAAAUCACGAGGAAUAUGAGAGGGGUGGAAAAAGGAAGAGGGUAGUGUGCACCAGAGUGGCCAUGUCGGAGCGAGGCUUGGGGGUUUAGCUGUAGCUAGAUUGCUGAUGGUUGUUUGAAGAGGCCUCUGUACAUUGCUGGCAUGUCUGGAGAAGAGCUGGCCAUAUCCAUUUCAGAGCAUGUGCUCACUUGCUGUCAAAGCGAUCGCCAUGGUCGGGACACAUGGGCAACAUAUAAUGAAAAAGAGGCCACAGUUGCUGUUUACAGAACCCAUGAUAAAACUUUUAUGCAGGUCAUGAGGUAAAAAUGUUGGUACAUAAUUGAAAUCCUCCAGCAGUUUCUGUGCAACUUCUUCCUGUUCACUUGCAUCUAUUUCAACCUUGAGAGACCCCACAUAAAUGACCUCUGUUUCAGGGGAGAAACCAUCCUUUAAAUGCAAUAGAAAGGCAUCUUCAUCUAAACUGAAGCACCAUUUGGCAGUCACUUUAUCUCUUUCAAGAUGCAGCCAUGGUAUUCUCUGAUUUAUCUACAGCCAUGAUGCUUUGAAAAUCCGUCGUGAGUCUUCUCAAAAAUCUGGUGAAGCCCCUCUUCAAAAAGCUGUGUUGUCCCCCUGAAAAAUCUGGUCAUUCAUUCUUUUCAAGAAAAAGGCCAUACUUCCUCUUUCAAGAUCUUCAUUCCCCAUAUUUCUGAAUUUAAAUUCCAGAAUCUCAUACGAAAAUUGAUUGGCUGCAGAUAUUUCUGACAGAUGGCUUGACUCCAACAUGUAAUAACUUUCUAUGAAUUCUGGGUUCACAUCUGGUCUUAGAAAAGUGUAGAAAAAUUCUCUUAUAUUAACAUUUGAAUUCUGUUUCUAUUGUCAACUUGCUUACAUUCAAUUUUCUUCAACUGAAUGCUCGCAUCUUAAUUGAUUUUCAGAUGUCCAGUUUACUGAAUAACUCCUCAUUCUUCAGGCGUAUCAAAUUGCCCAUAAUCAGAAAUUAACUCUCAGUCAAUAGGAUUCAGCAACUUAUUCGCGUGUGUGAAGGCAAAUGGGCAGUAAGCUAGAGACUUUCUGAUGGAUCCUGCAUUUCUGGACUUUCGAGAGUGGCUGCCAAGAAGACACCAAGCUCCACCAUCCUCUUGUUCCUCCUGAAGGCUUCUUCUCGACGGGCUUCUUCUUUGUUUUAUGAACCAGGACCUGAAUCUGGACAAAAAGGCAGCGUUUACACCAUUGACCGAAUUAAGACUUCCGACUUUUCAUUUUUUUUUUUUAUCUUGCACCAUCUAGUUGUGUUUUCUGAUCUUACACAAUUACUGUAGGAAGACGGACUUUUGCCACUUUCAGAAGGUACAUGAAACUCAGGUGUAACGCCCAUCAUCUUCCAAAUAACACAAAGAACAUCAGACGCUGUCUUCCAGGAUUUCUGUGGAGCUUUUCUUGGCUUCAACUUCAUUGUAUCUGCUUUAAAAUCGGUAUCCUUCCAGGACUUGAUAACGCAGGAACAGAAGAGAUGAUUUUUGGAAAUGAGAUUGCUACUGUUGAACCAAGAACUGCAGAUUCUGCUGUUGAACAGUCUUCCAUAGUCAGCCAACAAUGCGUGUCCCCUCAGGAAAACUUUAAAGAAUGAACUGGAGGUUGUUGACUUGAUGCUUAUAGGACUGCCUUUUCUGAUUCAUCUUGUACUUUUACAUCAUUUUCUGUUUCAUCAGUGAUCUGUCAGUAUCAGAAAGGAUAGAAAUGCAUUUUCGCUUUGAAGGAGGACCUUGGUUCUCAGCACCUCAACUCAGGCUAAGUUUGCCUGUUUGUUCCCAUGUUGAAGCAAGAAAAUAUAAAUGGCAGUAGUAUUUUCUAAGCAGCUCGGCAUGUCUUGCGUUUUGUAAUUGACUCUUGAAUUUCUCAGCCUUGAAGGAUGCUUUCGAGAUGCCCAUGGAGAACUUCAUCCUUUCCAGAAUAUACGAAAUGGAGUUGAGAGCAAGUUGAAUUCUUUUAGCUUCAUCUUUCUCAUGACAAGAAUAAACUCGAAUUCUUUAAAGUCAUUUGAAUGGGCUUGCUCAACUAUUGAUUUCUCAAAAGUUCCAUGUGGAAUGGUUUAAUGCAGAAAAUGCUAAAUUUUCCAACAUGAGGAAAAUGAGAAGAAAUGCAGGAUCUGGAAAUGAUUUGAAGCAGCUGAGGAACUCGAGCACAUAUACAUUCGGAGGUCAACAUUCUCUAAACCCAUGGUUAUUUGUCUAUUCUCUGACCUGAUGUUCAUAAGUUUCUUUAAUCACACAAUUUCAGAAACUUAAUCAAAAUAUGCGGUUUUCUGUCCAUUUUCUGGUUGCCUAUAGAGAGGUUUCUGAAUUGAUCGUCACUGGAUGAAACACAGGAGACUCAUCAAGGAUAUCUGCUGUGUGCAUUAAAUUGUUGUGCGUCUCCAAAUAAAAGUGUUCUUGGCCUCCUACUUGGAUUUCUCUUUCUAUGAUUUUCGCCAAACAUGUGAGAUAGCAAUUGGUCGAUGCUUGUGGUCCAUCUCUUUCCCUUAAAUACCCGAACUUGCCACCUCUGGUCUGUUUGAAGGUCCGUCAACUCACUAGCAAAGAGGAUAAUCAAAGUAACAUGAAUCACCUAAUUUGCAAUCACUAUUCAAGAGGUUGGUUUAGACUUCUUUGUGUCAUCUGGUGCUUUAGUAGAGCCAUUAAUUGUCGCUGCUGGGCAUUCUUAAUCUGAUCUCUAGUCGGGGGGUGGGGGGGGGGGGGGGGGGGGGGGCGGGGGAAAAAAAAUUUUUUUAAAAAGGCCCAAAAAAAUUUUUGGGGGAAUUUUAAAAUUUUUAAAACCCCUCUUUAAUUUUUUAAGGGGUUAAAAAAAAGAAAAAAAUAGGGGGGGCGGGGCCUUUUUAAAAAACGGGAAAAAUUUAGGGGUUUAAAAUUUCCCCUUUAAAAAACCAAAUUUUUUUUUCCCAAAAAAAAAAAAAAAAAAAAAGGUUUUUUUUCCCAAAAUUUUCAAUUUUAUUAAAAAACCCUUUUCNNNNNNNNNNNNNNNNNNNNNNNNNNNNNNNNNNNNNNNNNNNNNNNNNNNNNNNNNNNNNNNNNNNNNNNNNNNNNNNNNNNNNNNNNNNNNNNNNNNNGGGGGGGGGGGGGGGGGGCGCGUGGCAACAAUGAUUGUUAUAAAAGGACCAGAUUAAUCUUCUGGCUGACUUUGAAGCUUUCAGACGUCAUCUCUGAGUCUCUGAUGUGAUCAAAGCAAGGAAAAUAUCAUGGCAGUCGGGCUCUUUAUAAAAUCGGUGAUAGCUUAGGGGUUUGAAAUUGCACGCUUCAACAACCUACUAUCGUUUCUCCUAAAAAAUAAUAACAGUAACAGUGUCAUGUCUCCAAACAUCUCAAGUUCAAUCAGAGACCCUAUUCCAAUAUCUCCAAUCUGAAAUUUCUAAGUGCUCAUGCUCUGGAACCUGUGACUAUGCUACUUCAUCUCUGUUUGUGCGCGGACAAUUGAACUUUUCCUAUAAUUUUCUUUUCUGUUUUUCGAGAUUCUCCGUGCUGAAGGAGGCCUCAUGAUGAGUUAGAAUUGUCCUCUUUGGCAACGGCUCCCUUAAAAGAAACGGGAAGAAGAUCUGUAUCCCCAUUAAAAGCUCUACUAAUCCCAUAACAGUUUCAGAAUUCUGAACCAGUUGGUCUCUUAGCCGGACGAACAGAUGAAGUCUGUAUGUGAUUCCCAUUUAUUCAUCAAGAGCAAACUGAAGACUCUUGAUGUCAUAUCCCAAGCUUCAUCCCAUCCAAGUCCUUCAUCAUUCAUCAGUAAUCGCAUCAAUUCUGGAAUUGCACGGGUAGGAUGUGUAUCGUUCAACUGCACUGCUACCUUAUUGUGAAAUUCAGACCAUUGGCUUGAGCCCCCAUCUUUCCUCCUUGAAUCUGAAAAUAAUGUCCUGAAGUGAGGCAUUGCAUAGGAAAAAUUGUUGCUUUGGUUGCAAGAGCUUUCCAUUUUCUGUAGCAUCUCUAGGAUAUAGAACAACACAAAUCUGCUGAGCUCGAGAAUGAAGCUGUGCAGGAGCUUCAUAUUGCCCAUCACUAAAGUUGACCAUCUGCCCAGAAUUGCAGCAUUCUGCUCAGAAUUGCAGCAUUCUGCUCCCCUACAGCAUUCCUCAUACUAUUUUUGGUUGCUAGUAUUAAGCAAUACUGUUCAAUACUUGGAUUUAAAAAUGCAGCGUGAUUGGAUGAAAGAGUAGGCUUGUUGAUCACAGAAUCCAUUUGGCAGCCAAGCAUUAUCAGAAAAGAUAGGAAAUACUUCCCUAGUUCCUACUCUGUGAUACUUGCAAGUCAGACUCACAUCGUCUUGGAAGAACACGAUCUACAGGUUCCAAUAGCUGCAAAACAUAGACGAAAUCCCCUGCUGUGAUGGCCAUUACGUUUGCUGGAGAAUCCCAAAAAGCACUGCCUUUACCACUAAUCUUCGAACCACAACUUCAAAAGCAAAGUUGGAGAAUGUUACUUUCUGAAGCAACAGACACAGAGAAGCACUCAUAAAGAGGCAACAGUUGUUCUUUAGUAGAAAAUAUGGAUGCCAAAUUUGGGCUGCUUGUCAGUAAGUUCUGGAGAGAAGUCAAUCCAAACUGAACACUGCUUCUGUCCACUGAGGCAUUUGAUGCCACUCCUCAAAGGUCCUGUAGAGAAUAUUCAUUCAGAUCAAUAUCACCAUUGUGCAUGGCCUGACUAUAAGUGCUGGUGCCACCAUUGACAAAGGUUUGAUUGUAGGAACCUGCAAUGUGAUUGAUCAACCGAUUCUUUUCUGUAAAAUUGCCAUCCCAAUUAUAUAAUGUCUGACUCAGACCUCCAAGAUCAAUUAGAUUCAGAUUCUGAACCACCCCAUUGCAAUUCUGAGUUUCACGCCCACCAGGAAAACCCAAGAGUACUUGCCAAUUGAUUCUUCCUGACUUCAGAUAAUUUAGUUUAUGUCUUCUGUGAUUUCAUUUUUAUUUCCAAAUUGAUUUCUGCCAUCAAACUCUUGCAGUCUGCUGCCAUCCCUAUAAUCUUUUCUUUGUUGUAAGGGAUACGACAUGCAGGGCACCGAACCUCUGUUUCAUCCUCCUCAGCCAUGUUCAUUGUGUCACGCCAUCACCAAACACAUAUCUCACAACCACAUUUGCAUGGCUUCAAUUUGCUAGUCGGUCAAUUCCAUCUCUUCAGCACAGAGAGGACAAGUCUUUUCUCCUUCGUCACUCAUGGUUGUCACCAGAUACUGUUCAUCUAACUUUACCACUCUUGGUGGUACGCCUAAGAUUAUACAUCAACAUGUACGCAUCACCAGAUGAGUAUGUCUAUGAACCACUAACAAUACUACAUUCUGAAGAUUGUAGCUGACCAAUAUUUAUAUGAUUUCCAUUCAUGACACCAUUCAUUGGUUCAGUGGAAGACAGAUGAACAGAUGGCUCAGUUUGAACAGGUUUAGCAGCAGAACUUGAAGACCCCUCUCCAAAUGGAUGAUGACCCAGGUUUGAGACAUGCUCAUCAUCAAAUUCCCACCAUUGCCCUGUAUUCUCAUCUUUAAUAUGAGCUAUGUAAUGGCCACUGUUCACAGUAGUCCCCUCGUGAAUCAGCACAGCUGACAAGUCAUAUAUUAGUUCAAAAUCAGAAGGUUCAGACAACCUUUCUCUCAUAUCCAAUUCUCCAGGAAAACAGAAUGCAGAAGUGAUUAUCUUCUUUGUUGUAGUCUUUGGAAGGAAAACACAGCGCUUGAGCUGGAAAUUAAGGACAUAAGGCCGUGUGGGUAGCUUAAUGCUACGGAUGGCAUAAAACCAUUGGAUGAAUCAACAAAGUCAUUAAGUACAUUACUGAUCUCCGUGAAAACCCUUCUCCUUGCUUCUGUAGAGUGAACACAAGCUGCCACUAAAAAUUGACUAGCCCAGGUUGCUAGUUUAUGCAUCCAAUCAUCAUCAAUUUUUCUUUUUUUUCUUUGUUUUUUGGAACUUCUGGAAUAUGGAAGAAACCUAUGAAAAAUAUGGUGGGAUAUUCCAGUAGUGCAGUACACAAUAGGACCCCUUUCUCAAUUGUCAGGUGGCUCCCCAUUCUGCCUUCUCCUAUCUGCUGAAUCAAUCAAUCCGUCCUUGAGAAUAGCUCUAAGCCGUUUAGACCCAGGUACAGAUGAAAUUCUCUCCCAAGUUACAGUGUCCCUAAGCCAACACAAGCAGAUAACACAUUCACCAGUGUGAUCUCAUUCAGUUUCACGGACUGCCUUCAUGAGACAGUAUAAAUCAAUUUCUUCCUCAGAAAGUCCACACUGCACAUAUCCCGUAAUGAUGGCAUUCCAAGGGGGGCGACUUCUUACAAGAAACACCAUCAAAGAUUUUUCAAGCUUUCUUCACAUUCCCGCACUUGGAAUACAGAUCAUUGUUACCGCAUCGAGCAGGACCUCAUCAGCCGAAAUAAGCAUCCGGAAGACAAACUCGACAUCUCCACAAAAUCCCUUUCUUCCCCAUACACGUUUAUCAUUGCAGUCUGGAAAACCACAUUCCUUCUCAUUGGUAUUUCUUCAAACAACUCCCACGCUCCUCAAUCUCCCCUCAGUGUACAUACCAUGAAAUGAUCGAAUUUUGAGAAGCCACAUCUCUAAUCCCCAUAUGAAGAGCUCAUGGCCAUGUGACGGGUAGGAGGAAAAACAUAAACAAGUAUAGUGGAGAGUAGAGGAAACAAAGAGAGAACAAACAUGCGAGAUUGAAAUAAGAUAAAGCCACAUCUCAUGAUCUUUCAAUGGGCUCAGGCUAGUGGGGAAGAUCACAAACAGAUUUGGGACAAAAUAAGUACGCAACCAAUAUCAACAAAACAAUUUGUGGCCCUUUCCAUCCACACCAAUCAGCAGUACAUUAAAUAUUCAGAAACGAACACACGGAGAAAUCGAAUAUGGGUAAGAAUUCCAAGAGUAACAAGAAGCAUACUCGGACAGCCUUGGUUGCAAUUGCUCCUUUCCCGCUUCCUCUGUGCUUCUCCCAAAAAUCCCCCUCCCUCUUCUGUUCUGCCCCCACACUUUUAAAAUCCCUCUCUUGCGUCUUUGUAUCAGUUUUUUUUUGUUUUCCUUUUGUAACCGAUUCCACCAUGGAAAUAAUAUAUGUGCUAUCCCUCUAAAAACAAAAUCUCCUCUUUUUCAAAAUUCUGUUGAUUCUCCUUCCAAAUAGAUGGCGGCCCGUUCCUUAUGCCCAAAAAGCCAAAAAAUAUGAUUUAGAAAACUUGUAAUAAAAUGAAAUUAAAAUAAUAAAGAAAGUCAUACAAGUCACACAAGUCAUUUAGGUCAUGCAAUCAUGUAAGUCAUAUAAAAAGUGAGUCUAAAAGUACUUAAGUGGGCCUAAGUGAGCUUAAGUGGGCCUAAGUGAACUAAGCUCGAUGAAGUGUCUAAGUGGGCCUAAGACGUUUAGGAUAGUGCCUAAGUCUAAAUUAGAGCCGUCAAGGUCAUAAUGUGGAGUCGGAUAAACCCUUCAACCAAAGUCUCCAAAGUGGCUCAGAAAAUAUAAGUAGUAAUGAAUAGCAAUGGGCCACCAAGGAACUACUGUGGAGCACUGGAAGCGAACUUAAAGAUAUGUGCUAAAUGGAUAAAAUUGAGGGUCUACAACAACCUUCUCAAGGUAGUUUAUGCAAUUAUUCUUGAUUUUCUUCUCAUUUAUUUUAUUACAUUUUCAUUUCUAUAUCAUGUAAACCCAAUUCAACAUUUUCAUCUCCCAUCUGAGAAAGCAUUGUGGUUUUUCUUAAUCUAUGUUGAGAGCAGUUACACAUAUCUCAGGGCAAAACACCCCUGUUUCCUUAGUUCAUAGACUUUUCAGUAGCUUGACAUUCAUGAUGACUUUGUGAUCUUACUGCAUGCAGCCAGAUUUAACAGCCCCAGGCGACAUGGUCACCAAUUUUUCCCAUCUCCGAAGUACCUGGUGAUAAUCGAGUAGCGCAAUAUAACUGGCACGUCAAUGGCUUGCCCACAUGCUACUGGGGCAGCUGCCUACAUCAAGUCAUUUCACCCCACCUGGUCUCCUACUGCUAUUAAGUCUGCUCUUAUGACUAUUGGUAAUGUCUAAUUUUAUUCCUAACCUUUAAAAUUAUGAAAGGGUUGAUAAUAUGGAUCUCUGUUCUUUGUGUGUUUGUAGCUACUCCCAUGAGUGCUAAAAAAAAAAAUCCGGAAGCCAAAUUUGCAUAUGGUGCAGGCAAUAUAGAUCCUGGUCUGGUAUAUGAUGCCGAUGAGAUUGACUAUGUAAAAUUUUUGUGUGGGCAAGGUUAUAGUACUCGGGCUCUAUGGCCGGGGGUAAUUGUGUCUGUUCUACCGCUACAAAUGGAACCGUUUGAAAUCUAAAUUACCCUUCCUUUGCUCUUUCCAGCGUCACCAAGGAAUCCAUCACUGGCAUGUUCAGUAGGACUGUCACAAACAUUGGAUCAUCGGUGUCCACGUAUAAAGCAACUGUUAUAGGUGCUUCAGAGGGACUCGAAAUCCAAGUUGAACCAAGCAUUUUAUCAUUCACAUCCCUCAUGCAGAAGCUAUCCUUUGUGUUGAAGGUUGAAGGAAAGGUAGGUGACAACAUAGUCUCUGCUUCUUUGGUGUGGGAUGAUGGUGUACAUCAAGUGAGGACCCCCAUUGUUGUAUUAGCCCUCACAUAAAAUUCCAGAAUCCUGGUGUUCUUGUGGUACUAUCUAUAACAUUAAAAAUAAAUGAUGCGGCAAGUACAACAUUUUACUUGAUUUAAGAUCUUCAAUCUUGUUUAGCUGCUUUUCCACCAUCUUUAUAUGGAACUUUUUAAAAAUCUCUCCAAAUGUGACCUUGGGCUUUUCUUAAUAUCCACACAAGAAAACAUUUGAGUUUUUGAUAAGGAAAAUGAUAGUAUGGACAGAAACAACAUUGGAUCAACCCAGCUUGUGCAAAAGUUUCUCCCUUGAAAGAGAUUCUUGAGUUCAACACUCACAAAUUUUUUGUAGAAAGUACAAACACACCCUCAAAUAUCAUUGUCAUUAAUAAGAUAUCCCUCGAAUUGGAAUACAUGGAACCAAAUUAAACCAAUAUUAUCUUUAUACUAGAAAAGUUGGAAUUGGGCUUUGUUGUAACUUUUGUUAUAUUUUGUUAUUUUUAUUUUUGAAAAUAUUUACGAAAGUACCAUUGCUUUCCUUUCAUAUAUAGGAUGGGAUAAUGAUAAUUAUCAAUUAAAUGCAGGUCGAAAGAUGUGGUAUGGCAGCAACGUGUAUUGCGUUUGGAAAGCUCCUCUUUCCCGGCCAAAAAGGCUCAUUUUCCACAAUUUCAUGAAGCCUCUCUUUUUCCUUUACUUUGUUACUUUCAAAUUAGAACAAUUUACUUAGAUUAAGGCGGUAGGGAUGAAUCACCUGUGGGAGUGACCCAAAUUCUAAUUGCUACACCAAUCAACAUUGAUAGAAAAAGUGGUGACGUAUUAUGGGAAUCGUAAUCAACUGUCGGUGGGCUGACGCAACCUUCCCACCCUCCUUUUCUCCAACAACGUGAGUCACAUGCUUGAGACCUUCUAUGGCAAAACAAUUAUAUCAUGCACCUUUGGAUGAUAUAAAACAAUUAUAUAAAAGAAUUAUUUUAUAUCUAACACGUACCUUUGGAUGCUAAAGAAAUUUUAUGUCAGAUACAUGUUUUAGUGGUAAUCAAAGGCACAAAAAAGCACACUUAUGGGAAUAUAAAAUUUAUUUAAAUAAUUGGAGUGAGAAAAAAAAUGAAAAAUAUUUCUCUGCUAGAAAUUAGGAUCCAACAUUGUUAAAUAGGAUUUUGAGAUGGUAAUUUUACAAAAAAAGUUAGUAAUAAUAUCCUAAAAAUAAAUUGAAGGGUAUUAAUAAUGGGAUGAAAUUCUAAAGAUGAAGUCUAUUGAUGCUCUCUCUCUCUCUUUGUAUAGUCUUCGAGCUUUAUUCAUAACUUUUAACAAAAUUCUUCCUCAAAAGAAGCUUAUGAAGCGACAAUAAUAAUAAAAAAGAUUGAAUUAUUGGAAGAGAUGUAAAGUAGAUGUUGAAUAUAACUUUAACAAAAUUCUUCCUCAAAAGGAGCGACAAUAAUAAUAAAAAAGAUUGAAUUAUUGGAAGGGAUGUAAUGGGAUGUUGAUAAUGGGAUGUUGAUGGGCAUAUCUUUUAAUGAAAAAAAGUCUUUGGUAUUAUGGGGGAUGACUGGUGAGUCUUUUGAUUUAUCCGUGCAUUGCUCUUUAUUCUUUUAUCUUUUUAAAUACAAAUUAUUGGAAAUGUCCUGGAAGGUGUAACAUUAGAUUAAAAGAGAAAAAGGAUUGGGAGGCUCAUGUGUAUAUAUGUAUAGAUGUCCAAGCACCACGAAGCGCAUAGCUUACCAUCAUCUAAUGGCAAGACAAAAAAACUCUUCUCUGUGGUUUCUCCUUCUCAGUCUCAUCUGCAGUCUGCUCAGUACCCACAGUACUGCAGCAGCUUCCGAGGAUGAUGUUCGAAAGGCAAGAAACACCCAUCUCUCUCUUGCUUUUUCUUAAUUAAUGGCUUGGUCAAUAUUCCAUGAACCAUACAUGCAUGCAUGGCGGAAAAAUUAAGAUUAAUCUUGCGCUGAAAAUCAUGCUUGAGUAGUGUUAAUAAACUGGAUUUGCACCCAACAUAUAUAUUAUGGAUGCAGGAGUAUAUUGUGUACAUGGGUGCCAAGCCUGCCGGAGAUUUCUCGGCGUCUGCCAUUCACACCAACAUGCUGGAGCAAGUCUUUGGCAGGUCAGUAUUCACCUUUUGUUUUUUUUUCUAUUUUUCUAUUUUUGUUUUUUUAUUUGUUUUAUUUAUUACAUAUAUGGUACCUAAUUUUCCCCAUGGAAUGCCUUUUCAGCGGUAGGGCAUCAAGUUCUUUAGUCCGCAGUUACAAAAGGAGUUUCAAUGGAUUUGUAGCAAAGCUAACAGAGGAUGAAAUGCAGCAAAUGAAAGGUGCGUGGGUGGGUUUAAAUCUUUCUGUAAUUGAAGUAACUCAUGUGUGUAAUGGCUACAAAAUUAACUGUAACUUUGGAGUUUCAGGCAUGGACGGGGUGGUCUCGGUUUUCCCUAGCGAAAAGAAACAGCUCCACACAACUAGGUCGUGGGAUUUCGUGGGGUUUCCCCGACAAGUUAAAAGAACAAGUUUUGAAAGCGACAUUAUCAUAGGAGUGCUUGACGGUGGAAUAUGGCCAGAGUCUGACAGCUUCGAUGAUAAAGGAUUUGGCCCACCGCCAAGGAAAUGGAAGGGCACUUGCCAAGGGUUUUCCAAUUUCACUUGCAACAAGUAAAUCUCACUCGCAACAGAGUGUCUAAAUACCCUGUUAAAAAAGUUUAAAUAUAUCCUAUCCUUGUUCCUUAACAAAACUUUCCACCGAUGUUAUUGCAGUAAAAUUAUUGGAGCCAAGUACUAUAAGAGCGAUAGAAAAUUUAGCCCAGAAGAUUUGCAAUCCCCAAGAGAUUCAGACGGCCACGGGACACACACUGCAUCCACUGCAGCUGGGGGCCUAGUCAACAUGGCAAGUCUCAUGGGCUUUGGCUUAGGAACUGCUCGGGGCGGAGUUCCAUCAGCUCGGAUAGCAGUGUAUAAGAUAUGUUGGUCUGAUGGCUGUGAUGAUGCUGAUAUUCUCGCAGCAUUUGAUGAUGCAAUUGCUGAUGGGGUUGAUAUAAUCUCUUAUUCACUUGGGAAUCCCCCUUCCCGGGAUUAUUUUAAAGAUACUGCUGCAAUC
rnacentral:lncRNA from 1 species